AUUGAACGCUGGCGGCAGGCCUAACACAUGCAAGUCGAGCGGAUGAAGGGAGCUUGCUCCUGGAUUCAGCGGCGGACGGGUGAGUAAUGCCUAGGAAUCUGCCUGGUAGUGGGGGAUAACGUCCGGAAACGGGCGCUAAUACCGCAUACGUCCUGAGGGAGAAAGUGGGGGAUCUUCGGACCUCACGCUAUCAGAUGAGCCUAGGUCGGAUUAGCUAGUUGGUGGGGUAAAGGCCUACCAAGGCGACGAUCCGUAACUGGUCUGAGAGGAUGAUCAGUCACACUGGAACUGAGACACGGUCCAGACUCCUACGGGAGGCAGCAGUGGGGAAUAUUGGACAAUGGGCGAAAGCCUGAUCCAGCCAUGCCGCGUGUGUGAAGAAGAUCUUCGGAUUGUAAAGCACUUUAAGUUGGGAGGAAGGGCAGUAAGUUAAUACCUUGCUGUCUUGACGUUACCAACAGAAUAAGCACCGGCUAACUUCGUG
rnacentral:rRNA from 1 species